UACAGAGGUCCCAAGCGUUUGUUCGGAUUCACUGGGCGUAAAGGGUGCGUAGGCGGUCGGGUAAGUCUGAUGUGAAAUCUCACAGCUUAACUGUGAAACUGCAUUGGAUACUAUUCGGCUUGAGAGUUGGAGGGGGGACUGGAAUUCUCGGUGUAGCAGUGAAAUGCGUAGAUAUCGAGAGGAACACCAGUGGCGAAGGCGAGUCCCUGGACAACUUCUGACGCUGAGGCACGAAAAGCUAGGGGAGCAAACAGG
rnacentral:rRNA from 1 species